rnacentral:snRNA from 1 species
AUACAUGCGUGGUGCUGGGGCCUCGCUGAUCCCCGAGGACGAGCCCCCUGGGCAAAGCGGGCAUUGCACUGGCUCGCGUUGACCCCUGUUACUACCCCAAACAUGGGCAGAUGGGGCAUGCAAAUUGUGUAACUCCGGUUCAAAGCAAGAGAAGGAGCCAACGCCUCACCGAG